UUAGAUGGGAAUGGGCACACAAACCCAAACAGUUCCCUCUAAUUUACUCAGAUGAGGUCUGAUGUCUUCCUUUCAGGUCUUAUCCUCUACACUUUGGAAAUUUUGGAGGAGUCCCUAGAACUAAAGGUCUAAUCUACACAUGUUAAAGCUGGAUAAAAGGAAAGCACAUCCAUCCAACCUCAUACAGCAAUAGUACUGUCAGGAUCAUCCUUGUUUGUUAAAUAAGUUUCUGAAUAAAGCCAAGUAUAGGAAACAGGCAAAAUGAGAGGGUCCAUCUUUCAGCUAAUUUUCUCAAGAGCAACCUUGCACUGGAAAAAGUAAAUACUUCUACUUGAGUGGGCUUAAGUAUUCAAACAAGCACAAGUUGAAGACUUCGGAAUUAUCUGAUGGAUACAUCUGCAUUCACUUGAGCAGAGUGGAUUUCGUUGUAGGACAGAUUCAGAAAUCAUGCCCAAGACGAGGUGCACUACCCAGCCUACUCUGUGCCAACUACCUCUGGUUUAUGACUCCCCUGUGUUAAUUUCUUGUCUGUGAAUUGCCGAUUCUUUGAAGUAAAACAUUGGGCUAGAUCUGUUUCGGAGUGAAUGAGAAUGCAGGACCGCUGACAAAAGAAAUCCAUCAUAAGAAUCACUGCAGAAAAUGUCUACAACUUCUCCUCCUCUGGAUGUGAGUGAACUACAACAUUCAGCUUUACAAAUAUGCACCCCCAUCUCAACUGGGUACCUCUGUCCAAAUAUGAGAUAAUACACUGAGCGACAGUUUUCCUCAUGUACUGUCUGAACACAUAAGUGGCAUCGAAGAUCAGAUUGGCUGAAAUCCUCUAUGAAAUGAAGUCUUCUCUCAUGUUUGGAUCGCAUAUAUGUUUAGUGACCCAGCGGCUGCUGUAAGGGCCCGACCGAACCUAGGACAGACCUUCAAAGAUCCAGUACCCCUUACAAUGGUGUAUGGUGAUUAUCAAUCGAUUAAGGUACCAGUGGAUUCCUAGGCUUGGUGCUUACCAGGAGCAAAAACUUAAAGAACAAAUUUGCUUUCCCAAGUUUCUGCAUUCUGUGUACAAGGACAGCCUUAAUUUUAGACUGAGCCUUUACUGUUGCUGGCCAUACUAGGCAAAAGAAAUUCAUCAUGUUUAGGUCAGCUAGUGCUUUGAUGGCUGUGACUUUGCAAACAUGUGCAUGGCAUCUCCUAUGAGGAUUAACAGCUGAAAUGGUUGUAGCAGGGGAAUAUAAAUUAGCAACAAUGAUGGUGCACUGAAGACUGUUUUUUGCAAAGGAAGGAUCUGCAAGGAUGUUAGGAUCUAUACCUCAAAAUAAAGAAUUGGGAACCAAUCACCUCUGGGGAACAUCCUGUUCUGCAGCCCUCCCUUGAUAAAGGCCUUGACUGCUUUCAGCCUUAUCGAGAUGACUAGAUGAAAGCUGCUCUCGGAAGAAGAAAGGUUAAUCGACUACACUGCUGUUAAUCAAUCACUUGGAAAGAUUCAGCACUUACAAUAGUGGAUGAGCAUAAAGCACCUGCAGCUCAAUACGAACGAACGAACAAGUGAGGAAGUACAGAGGCUGCUGCCUAAUCAAUUUUUCCUCACAUCAUCUUGAAGAGUACCCUACAAGGCAUAAAUGCACAAACUUGGUUGCACUGAAUUAUAACAUCUGAGGACACAAUUUCUUCUGUCUAAAAGGAAUGGAAAGAUGGAUGGCAGAGAAGCGGAAGGAAAAGUCUUGAGUGCUUUAUUGACCCAGCUGACAUCUUGUGAAUGGAAGAAAAACUGCACGACCAAUGUGUGUGUAUCUCAUCCGUUGAUUUAGUGGAAUGUGGUGCAUGUUCAUCUGAGCUGGAUGAGAAUUAAUUGCCCCAUAAGAUAAUGCUCUUAAGAGAGACACUUGGCUAUUUCUUUCUUACUGAAGUGAACUGUUCCUUGGUCAUCAGCGUAAGUACCUGAACAGGAUUUUGAAUUUUUUGUUUUUAGUAUUCUUGUAAGAGUAGUUUUAUUUGAUUAUUCUCUCUCAGCAUGUGCUACCAACCUCCUUAUGAGAUUUAAAUAUAAACAGGUUUGCAAAAUGGUUCCCCAGUACUUUCUCAUAAGGAUCUUGUACAUUAAAAUACCUUUCUCUCCCAUCAGCUUAACACUUUUAAGACUAAAAGUUUCGGCAUCCAAUAUGCCUACAAAAGCUGUAGUCAAUUUGUAUGCUUCAGCUGGGAGUCUUGCUGUAUUCAGUUAUUAAUAUCCAAGGAUUAAUAUUUAUACAAAAUAAUCUUUUCCUGGAUGCAUUAAAGUACUGCUAUUCAUGCCAUUGUACUUUAGGUUGUGUCAUUAUUUCCAUUAUAAACUCCUUACUUACAGAUCUUUAUAAUCCAGGCAUAAAAUUCAUUGCAUGAAGUCAUGAGGGCUUUGGAAAAACCAACAAUACUAGUUGAGAAAGCUCGAGGUUUUUUUUCUUUCUUUUACAAAGUUCUCCAAAUCUGUGAGCCUACAGAGAACCUAAUUAGAGUCAACGGAGAAACCUCCAGGGGGGAAAAUAUAAAGCACUUAAUGUGUAAUUUUGAGUUCUAGGGUCACAAAGUCUUGCUCUCUCUCUCAGGCAGAACUCCUACUAUUUGUCUCACAGCAACGUGAAAGCUGCAAAAUUGUAUUAAAUAUUUAAAUAUAUCUAAAAUAUAUUCAAUCUUUCAUUCCCCUCCACUACCACAAACUGAGUUUAUGGUUUCUGAAGCUUCACAUUCUGCCCGACUUGGAACUGACAAUGGGAAAAUACCUGUUCUAAAAUGAGACUGCUGGAAGCUACCAUACACAGUAUGAAGUGUACUACAGAAUGCUUUUAGAAAGGCUCAAACUCAUCUUCCACCUUGAAACCCUGCAUGCUGCUGUUGCUGCAGAUUUUUCUUCCCUUUCUCCUGGCUCUGACAGCAGUCUGUGUCCCAAACAAGCAAGGUGCUUACUCCACAAACAAAAUAUGUCAUGAGGAUCAGCUGUUCUAUCACCUGAUACCUCUGUCACCCCAAAGAUUUAAAAUACAGUCUUCGAGAGGACCAUGGUCUGCAAGUGUUGGGUUACUUCCGAGCCCUCAGUCACCAACAAUUGGCAAAACAGCGAAAUAGCUCCCAGCAGGCUAGUACUAAUUGACUACCUUUAAAAUAAAAGCCACUUAGUUCUACAGAUAAUGCAGAAAAAUCCAUAAAACUUGACAUCAGUUAUUACAGAAAUCUGCUGUCUGGACUAAUGCUGAUAAGGAUCAGAAGGGCAAGAAGAAGAAAAGGUAUAUGAAGGAAAUCAGGGACCAAAUCCACCUGUGAGACUAUUCUAACAACUUCAAAGUAAUUACACCUUGGGACAUGAACUUGACUGAAUUUUGGAGAGUACAUAUAAUCCAGUAUAUAAAGUCACAGCUUUACUUCUGUUAAUAUCUACAUAAUUUAAAAAUUUUUGUGAACAUUAUCAUGCAGGCUGAGAUCCAGUCAUCCUGAUUUUAGGCACAGUACUAACACCUCAUCUGUGUCUGUAGUUAAAAUAUGAGUGCAAAUCUUUUGAAACUGAACUUCAUAAUCUCCAUCAAUAUCAAGACGUAAGUACUCUUAUUCAAUUAAAACAUACAUUAGUGUCUGCAGCAUCACAGUAUUUUUAUAUGAACCCAAAUUUAGAGCAAAUGGAUUGGCAACCCAUUUAAAAUAGCAUCCGUGAAACAUUAAAUAUGUUUGUGGGUUUUUUUUGUUUGUUGGGGAAAAGAAACAGAUUAAAAUAAUGUUAAUCUAAGUGCUGGUUUUCAGUAUCCAGGGCACCUCGCUGUCAGUGGGUGGUACACGACUGCUCCGUCGAAGCAGCAAGAUGGCAGUUCUAGUAAGCUUAGAGAGAACCUGCAGAUCAUUUUAUCAUUCUCUAAAUAACAUUAACUAAAUAACAUUUUCUAAGUAGUGUUUAAGAAGUUCCUAGUAACUAGGAUAUAAAAGGAGCAAUAAGUAUGUUAUUGGCCAAAAAUUUUUUUCAGUUUUUUUUCUUUUUUCUUUUUCUUUUUCUUUUUUUUUUUUUUAAUAACUCUGCUUAGAUUACUUACUCUUAACUUAGUGUGACACAGUACAUAAGCAUGCAUUAUUUCCUGACUCCACAUUCACUAUGAACCAGCCUCGUAGCAUUUAAAUGCUUUUUUUAUAUGGUACAACACAGUUCUGAAAAAAAUUUUUUUUUAUAUCCACUACCAUCUCAAAAGUCAGUGAGGAUACCAACAUCUACAUGUGAUGACCCGCUGGAUUACAAAAGAAUUUACUAAAACCCUGACAAAAUCAGUCCAUUAACAAGAACAGUAAUGCAGGAGGGACUGCCAAACGUUCUCAUCCUGAUAAGCCAGAUUUAUAAAAGAAAGAUCCUCUGUUGUUGUAAACCAACUGCAUUUCCACUGAGGUUAAUAAAGCUAUAACAAUUUCUACCAAGUGAGGAUACAGUCCUAGACUGCUGGCCACGUAUGGCUUGCAGAAAAGCAGUAAAUAAUGUGCUGAUAUGGUAUUGUGGGGUACAGAAUGGGAAAAACAGUGGGAAGUUUCAAAUGGUUUGGUGCAAGCUGUAAUGACCUUAGACAUGCCAAAGCUGAGUAUUCCUACCUCUGCUGAAUGAUCAUCUUACUCUCUUUCUUAGACAAUCUGAACUUAGUUUUCACAGAAUUAAAAUGGGGAUCAGUGGAAUUACUCAUAUUAAUAAGGCAAGCAAAAUCUAACUAAAUGAAAAACUUAAAACUAAUUCAUGAAAAAACAAGUUACGCAUUCAUAUACUUGUGUCAUUAGUUUGAGUAAAGAACAAUUAUCUGAAGGCAUAAUUUUAUUCCUUCAGAAAUGUACUAUAAGCCAAUUAGAAUAUGUAACAGUAUUUUUGAAGAAACUUCUAACAAAGUUGAAAAGGAAAUUGUCAAGGGAAAAAAGUAAUUACAUAUUCUUUAAGAAAACCUUAAAGAAACAUACUACAGCAGAGGAAAAAUAUUUUAGUCAAUCUCUGAAAAAUCAUAUGGGAUUGGAAACUGUUUGUCACAUGAAUAUGGUUCUUAAACUAAAAUGUCAAACUCUAAUGCCUAUGGAAUCGCAUGUUUGAUUUUCCCUGGGUUGACUAAAACAGAAAAUGUAAUUUUAAAACACCUGGAAGCUCAGCAGAUCUGCUAAGCCUAAUCAUCACAUCAGACUUCUUUCAGACAGACCUUUUAAUUCAUAGUUUUGAGUUAAGGUGCAAUUACUAUACCCCUAGCAUUACUAGUUUUACUUAUUUUGAAAGUAAAAUUAUCAUGCAAAAAAUCACACGUAGCUUUUGCUUCACUUACCAAGGGGAGGUCCAUGUGUCAUUAGUAUAUCAAUACCCUCAGGGAUAAGGUUCCACUUGUCUAGCAAAGACUGACCUCUGGGUAGGUUAAAGCCCCAUCCGUUAAACCAUGGUGUCCUUUGGGGGAAAAUAAGAUGAACUGUAUCAGUCUAAACUAAAAAUCUCCUCCCCUCUUUCACUUUCUGAAUUAAAAUAAUUUCUGUACUUCAGAGAUUACUUGCAAACAGCAUUUUUGAAAAGGAUGCAUCCAAAACAAACUGGUUCAAAUACAUACAUACACUAAUCUGUAUGUCUGAAUUCAGAUUAGCAUCCCAUCCUCUUUAUAUUUCAAGAGUAUUAAGCCCUAUGGCAUUUAUCCACCACAGAGGAAAGGAAAAGUCAAAAUAACCCAGUCUAAAUCUAAAGUUUUUUUCAAAGCUUGGGGAUGUUCAAACAUAAGAACUUGUACCAAAACUGAAAAAGAGAAAAAAAAAAAUCCCCAAUUUUUGGAGGCAAGAAACAAUUACUUACAGCAGAAGGCAUCUAAUGGGUCACAGUUUGACAGAAAGGCUGUGUAACUGACUGUAAGCACUGUCUGUACCAUGGUAUUUCACCAAAUUGAAGCUUACUUUUUUCAGUAGUUUUAAUAUCACAGCAUUUUCAUAUGACCUGGCUUUGAGUUCCUGAGCCUCCUAGAGGCCUUGAUCAUACAGUGGUUGGCCUCAUGGUAGCUUUUUAAGGAGGUAUUAUCAUUUAAGAUACAUUUAAUAUUUCCUAAGGAAAACAGAGAUCCUCAGUUCCCUCCGUCAUAGCAGAGCAUUGUUCCGAGACAUUUGUUUAGCCAUGAGUGCAGGAACACAGGGAUGAAAAGAAAUGAAAAGAAUUUUAUAAGAAUACUUUUUCUGAGAGGUUUUAGAAUCAAUGUAUAAUAGCAAAAUUGAGCAGUUUUGAUGCAGGUAUAAUAUAAUAAAGCCUUUAUCAGGUAAGUCCAGAGAGCAACUGAUCUACAUCUGUUACUAACUGUAAUAAUUCUAAUACUUUUCAUCCCUGUAUUUGUUUCCUAGAGGUUAGGCAACACACUUAGGCUAGGUUGUUUCAUAUGCUAUGCAGGGUACUCCCUUUCUAGCACUGUUUUUUUGGGGCCUUCUCUCUUAGGGUUCAAGUUACUCCUGCAGUCUUCCAGCUACUGCAGUUCCGAAAAGAAAAGGUUUAUUUUUACUGUAAAUUAAGGAAAAGCAUUCUUAUCAAAUAAGAGUUAAUUAAGAGCUGUACAUCACUUCAAUAUGUAAUCUGCCUUCUGGACCCUUUAAGUCAUGCAUACUUUCAGUCCCAAAUAUGCAUUUAAGUGAAAAUCUCCUGUUGAGAAGACAUCUCUAUUUAAUUCUUGUGCUUCUGUAAUUACAGUAUUUUGUUCACAGGAGACAAUAAUAUGACCAAUGAAGAGUUUACCCAGAUCUGUUCUGAAUUCCUGACAGUCAGCAGUAUGUGAAAACAAAAGGCUCUAUUAAUAGGUGCGGUAAGGUCACUGGUGCCGCAGUAACAAAUAAUAAGCGUACCAUUCUUCCAUGUAGUCCUACAGAACUAAUACUACACAUAUGUGGGAUCCCGUUCAGCUUAGGAAACGUUCUGAAUCUUGGAUGAACACUACCAAAACCAAGAGAAAUGAAAAUUCAGUAUUAAACAUUUUAUCUAAGCUAUGGGUUGCUCAUAAACACAGCAAAGAAACUUCAGUUCUCACUGUGGGCUUAUUCUGAAUCCACUGAAAUAAUUUUAAAAAAGACUAUCUUAUGUUGUAAAAUAAGGUCAGUGCACCUCUGAGGAGGUUUGUAUGUAACUGCAUUAAGACUGAAGCAUGUGCCUUCACUUUGCCUAAAUCACAAGUGUUUUUGCUUUUCUUUAGCUCAGCUUUCUGAAACACAGCUACAUUAGAUAUCAGCUUUUCCUUUACUAUAAUGUUCCUGGGGUUUUAACAUAUCAAGAUUAUUGUAAUUCUCAGGGCUCCUGUUAAAAGUUGAAAUAUGGUUUGGCUAAAUAUUCAGCUGCUUAAAAAAACAAACACACGGCAUAGGCUGAACUUUUCGCUAUCAAUUAAUGAUUCUUUCCCCACUUGCAUUUCUCCUGCAGGUAAUACUGUAGUUAUUAUACCACAGUUGAACCUGAAAUAUGAAACCACAUCUAUGAUCUCACAGGAGCUCUUUGGAGACUACAGCCACAGAAAGCCUGGAUCUGUCUGCAGCAACCAGGAUCAGCUUCCUCAGAGGGAGGACUCUGAAUCAAGCAUGGAAAUGUUCAUCUCAACUACAGUUUUAGUGGUUGAGCAUCCAACAUAAAGGAUAUAUCCAAAUAUUUACUUCAAGUGUAGGUACUUUUAUUAUCCAUGUGUAUGUAUAAUCCUUUGGAUAAUAUUCUGCUAAGCUUUUUACAGAAUGCCAGUUAGUAGCAAUUAUUUUCAUCGAUCAAAAGUCUGUUGUACAAAGAAUAUCUCCUUUUAAUGUGGUUUGAAUACGCUACUUUUCCAUUUCACUGAAUGCUUCCUUAUUACAAGAUUAGUGAAGUUCCUAACCAGACCAGAGUCAGGGUACUGUCCAUGUGAGGUACUUGCAUGGGAACUCAGAGAUCUUUGCAACUCAAAACGGCCAGGGUUCAUGGAUUCUUUACUGUCCGGUACAACUCUGAGGUUUACCCAAAGUUUACUAAGAGCCAGCUAGUUGUUUUUCAGACCAUAAACCAUCAGUAUAGCUGAAGACUAUGCUUACUGUUCAGGCGUACACAGAACUGGAAUUUAGUACACACUGCUGAGCACCAUCAACUUUAGGAAGUCCAAACUGAUCUAUUCGAAUCUGGACUAAAAAAUGACGGAGAACAACUAUGAGAAUUAUGAGAUAAUGUCACCACUUUUAUAAGCCACGGUAAAAAACUCAGGCUUGGAUGCUGGGAGGAAAAGGUAUUAACUGGGGAACCUGAAAAAAACUAGCUUUUCUCACUCUGCUGCUCUCUGAAGGUAACUCUUUGAAAAAAAGAAACAGACUUGCCAUUUUAUGCUUACAGGAAUAACUCUUAGAUACCACAUCUAUAAUAUGUUUUGGACCACUUUAGAAAUGAAAUCCGUCACCAAUAUUUUUGAUCUUUCACAGUUAAACUAUGGUAAGUACACACCUACACAGGAUUCAGCAAAAUUAAUCCGAGUUAUAAAGCUCUUCAAACAAUGGAGUUAGGCCAGAGCUAAAUUUAGCUUGUUUUUGCAUUUGCCUUAGACACAUCUAAUACACUUCCUUGUUCUGGAUGUAGAGUCAAGGAAAAAAGAUUUUGGUCAAAGUCUCCUGAAGUUCUGGAUGUCUGGAUUGCCCAUGCUUUUCCUGACAUGAUUUCCAGACAGACUUAGCUACUUAAUCUGCUUAGUUGUUUUCGAAAAGUAAUUUAAAAACAAACAAACAAACCACUAAGCACAUACCUGCAUCACACAACCUCAAAGUCUUUCAAGAACUCUUUUCAAGUACCUUAUAAAUAAUAAUGACUUAAGCCCCAGAAUAUUCUAGGUAAAAAAAAUUCUUUACAGAGGAACUGUAAAUCUAGGUUGAAUGUGGCAAGAAUAAAGAUGCCAGAAUAUGCUCCCAAAUGACUUCAAAGUGAAUCAGGUGGGAGACACAGAAUGCACCCCUUUCCCCAAUUUUCACUACUUGUCUUUAGCAGCAAGUCUAUUACUCUUAUCCACUCCAAUGAUUUAAAAUGCAAUACUGAGAUUGCCUAUUGCCAGAUGGUGCUGUUUAUCUAUAAAUAUCACUUCCCCCCUCCAAAAUGCUACUUACCAUUCUUCAAAAAGAACCUGAAAUUUUCCAGAAUGCCUGGUAGGAAAACCCGUGCUUACCUUAAUUAGUCUUCGAUGCACAUAUAACCCAUAGUAUUUCACUGUAGAAACUCAUAACAAAACCUUCCAAACCUUCACAGAAAAGAAUUGAAACUGUUAGUUAUCACUAGGCACCAGAUGCUACCAGUAUCUUUGUGUGUUCAAAGUCUGCACUACCUUCCCUUUCACCUUGUUCUUUAAGCUGGAUGUAAAGCUGCUCACCCUCUCUAAGCAGAUGAAAACAGCCAAAACAACCAGGAAGCUUCCAGUGUCACAACACAAGUUUAUUUGGCAUUUAGGUACUGCAUGAAGUAACAUGUCUGGUCUUUAAGUAAUAAUACUGGAUUACCAUCUUAUAAGUAGAAGUGCUAGGAAAUGUCAUCUAUUUUUAAAAAAACUGCAGAUUUCCUUCACCUUAUUCAUUUAUUGCAGUCUUCACUUUGUGCUGAAAUUUAACAUGUGACCUAUUCAAAAUUUCAUCUUUACGGAAAACUGCCAUCCUACUUGGGAGUCUGCAGGAAGCAAAAGUCAGCAACUCGUGGCUCGUCUUCAUCCAAAAACACUGCUACCUAAUUUGUCAAAUUGUGUCAACUGAAAGAAAUACCAAAAAAGUCAUCUGGGGAAAGGAGUGGUUAUGGAUCUCUGCACAUGUAUCUCAUCUGCUCUCAAUUCAGGGAACCUCCUGAGACUUGUAAGCAAGCAAAGUACACGCAUUAAAAAAAUGCUGUGCUUGAAAUUAUAUAACAUGUAUUUUAUAUAUUUUUAAUAUAUAUAUAUAAAAAUGUAUGUAUCUCCUGUUGCUCUUAGGCCUGUGACCAUGAGUCCAACAAAUUACUUGAAGAAAUGGCACAGUGUACUCCCAAAACAAUGAAAACUACAACUCCUGUACCACUCGAGCAUGAGCCUAGCAAUAUAAGCUAACACGUUCAGGUUAUUACCUGGAGGAGCUGUCUUAUGUAUGAGCCAAUUUAGCAAGUCAAUUAAAGUAAUGCAGUUAGCUGAUCAACAGAUGAACACGAAAGAAAAAAAAUAUGACAGAAGAGGCUGAGAAAAAACAUAUGAGGAUCAUAAGAGAAGCAGGAGCUGCUGAAAAGCCCGUACGGAACAUGCAGCACCCCACAGGUUAGAGGAGCAUUAUUUUAAUUGAAAGUGAUCUGGUUAAGCGUGGGUCACUCACUUUUGUUGGCUUCAAGAUCAUUAAACAAGGAGCUUAGAUUGCAUGUGGAUGAAUUUACACAACAUUUAAUUUUAGGCUCACCCACCCUCCUGAUGUCCCUUCCAAGAGGUCUUUGGGAGACCCAGAUUACCACAGAAUGAACAAGAGUUAAUUUGAUUUUUCUGGCUAACAGGAAAACUUAAAUUAGAAAGCAAUAUCGUAAAAUUUUUAGCUCAAGAUCAGUGACUCCACCGGACAAAAUGCCAUUCAUGCUCUAUCCUGUUCUCACCUUGACUGUGAGAGGAAUUUGAGCCCCACCUCUCCAAGGCAACAUGCAGUUCUCUUCAAGAGAGUGUUAAUGGCCCUUAAAUAAGUGCAAGCAAGAAGCAGAAAAAAAGGGAGGCAGGGAAGAUCUCUUUCUCAUCAACAACCAAAUCAAAAGUCCAGAUGUUAUGAUCAGAGAUGCUUCCUAGCUGGAUUAUAUUGUAAUGCAGUUUGUCUGGGUCUGUUUUCAAAACGUCCGUUCAUGUGACUGACCAAAUCGUUUCUUCCGGAAGGGCCGCAGUUGGGGCACAGUGCUGCGGCCUCUGGGUCGGCAUCACCACGCCUCCGUGCUGCGGUAUUCACAACUACACCAGGGAAGCCAGUUAGUUAAGCUAGUAAUUUUUCAUUUAUAGCACCAGCCUACCCUCACUUCAGUGGAUGGGAGUAAGAUCAAACCCUGAAACUUGGGUAUUUGUUCCUCUGGAUCAUAUACACUCAUAUUUUGAGGUAAUACCUUUCCUAAGAAAAGUUGUGAGCUCAUAUUCCAAGUUGCCAUGUGAAGUAAAUUUUUACUGAUGAGUUACAAGCCUAUGAACUGGUGCUUUAUAACAGCAAGGCAGACUGACAUUUAAACAGAGUGGCACUAGAAUAAUGGCUUUACAUUCGUAUUUUAUGGGAGGCUGAAUAACCACAGAGUUAACAUACUGUAUUUUUCUGGUAAUAAAAAAAUCUGUUGAAAACAAAAGGUCAUUUCAUUGGAUAAUGUAAACGAAUUAGAUUUGUAUUGUACAGUCAAGACAGUAAAGGCAAGAUUAAUUCUUAAGAAGAGAAGUCAAUAUAUGAGGAUGGCUAAGACUGUUUUGUUUUUCAUUCUUUAACCAUGUUGUAAAGCCUGCAGUUCAUAACGCACAGUCAUAUAUUGCUGUACACUGUAGAUUUUAAUACAGGCCCUGGACUUCAGUCUGAUCUGAUAAAAAUCUGAAGCUUACAGUAGGCCAUUAUGCGGGCAAACUAUUCAUUUUAUAUUCACCUCCUUGUCGUGUCAGUGCAGAGGUCAUCUGAAGAGGGGGCCUAAUUAAUCAAACUGUCAGAGCCAAUGAGGAGGAGCAUGUUAAUAGGACUUUUAUUUCACCCAGGAAAGCAGCAGUCUGACAGCAACCAGAAAAUAUGGCCUUGGUGUUGCUGUUUAUUAGCAAUGCUGAGACCAGUAGUAAUAGGUGCCAAGCAGCUUAUGUUUGAUAAAGUGCUGAAUGUCAAGAAGCUGCACCAACCAGAAAUUAGACUGACAAGAGGCAAGAUCCUCCGCAUAUUGAUAGCUGGUGAAGAGAAGAUAUGGUCUGGAUGUGAUCACAAAACUAGAACCUGCACAGGCCACAUUCAUAAUUCUACAGAAGGGAAGCAACAGAAAGAAAAAAGAAACAGCCCCGCAUGGCUAUUCUUCUGCACUUAAGGGUGAGUCUCUUCAAUACUGAACUACUACUUGGCAUAUAUGCGCAAACACAGCCACGCUGGCAGCAGAAAUACCUAAAUUUGCUGCAGCAGUGCAGAACCUAAAGGAUUGCCUUCAUGGGAUCCCAUGGAGGUAUAUGGCCAGUUCAACAGUGAAGCCUCGAUGAGCCCUGCAGAUCUCUGAUAUCCUGUAACCGGCAGGAUUUUGAAGAGUCAGAGACUAGUUUAACACUCAACACUAACUGAAUCCAGAUCAAUGCGGAGGCUGCACCAGAUCAGGGAAGCGUAUCAUAGCAGUUAGGCCUUGCCCAUGUUGGACUGGGCAUUCAGUGAGUUAGAUCCUAAUAAUGCAAAAAUAAAUGUGAUGAAAUUUAAAUUUCUUAUUCAAAGCCCUUCUGCCAAAUGGAUGCUCUUAACACAAAAGUAAAGAAGAAUAUAUUCAUAUCUAAAAGGGAGUGAGUGGGAGACACAAGAGAUGCUCACAGCUUUUGAAGGGCACUGGACUCAUUUUAGCAGCAGCCAUGACAUUUGCUGUGUGGCUGAUAUAUGUAAAAUUUAAAAUUAAUUAUUUUAGUAAUGCACCCUUACGUGAUUUCUCAAUCUGCAGUGUAUUUUAUACUUCAGCCCAUAGUAGUUUUUAUAAUUAACUGCUUUCUGAAGCCAUUUUAAUUAUUUUUUUUUUCCACAAGACCAUUAUUUCCAAAUGAAGAGACAGCUACCAUUAAAUAGCCUCUAAACAGAAAGCUGCAAGAAUCUACUCUUGUGUAGGAUAAAGCACUCAGAAUCAUGCCCCUGCUAAUACCCUCUGGAAAGGUUUAAGCAGAGAAUGGAGCAGUGAAAAAGAAAUGCACUGCCAAAGGUGAAUCUCAGACCCUCUUGGGACAUAAAAGUAAGACUGGGAAAAGGAGCUAGCUAAGUUUAAAUCUUUUCUGGUGGAAGAGGAAGGUUGUGUUUAUGGCUGCUACCAUGGAUCCAAAUAUCCUCAUCCUGAAUUAUCUUGGCUUUCUUCCCUGAGAAUACUCUAUUGUCUGGAUCUUCCUCUCAAAGCCAGCAAUCCUAAAAUUGGAAUCAAACAAAGCAGAAGUGAAUUCUGUGGCCUCUAGCUCUUGUGCGUCACCCUCCGAGACAGCCGCGCUCGAUCCUGGAGCUCUCAUGAGUCUGUCGCAAAGGUCCAAGCUCAUGCCCAGCACAGCAACGCCUGCUGUAGCGGACUAACACAAUUCGCUCAGCAAAGACCAGAGAGACAUUAGCAGCAAGAAGUUUAUCUGUUACUGAUCUUGACUGGAGUUUAGAUGGCUUCGCUCUAGGGUGUGGUAGAGCAGUAUUUUGUGUGGUGGCAAGAUCAUUUCAAAAACUUCCUGCUUCUCUCCUCAGCCCUCCUUGCUGCUCUGUGCCAGCAGCACUGCUCCCUCCUGUUGCACUGAUGGGACUGAUUUUGGGACAAGGGUCACCGACAUAACCCAGGUUAAAAAAACUGGAAGAUCUUUUUAGUUAUUUGGUUUACAGCACAAAAAGCUGCCAUAGCACCAAUGAAGGACUGGAGGAUUGUGGCACAGGGCCCAGACCUGGGUAUUCAGGGCAGGAACUCUUUCUUUGGUGGCAAAACACUUUUAAAACUUUAUUAAUUAUAGGGAUGAAUUGUGGUCUUUAAAGCUGGAGUUUGAUGAUGAAGACACUCUCCCUUCCUAAUCUUCUGCUGUUGACAGUAUCUUUUGGAAUUGUUAAAAUUACAUUUAUUUUCUCUUACAGUUUCAUAUGUCCUCAUUUAACUAACAUAAGGCACGCUCCCUGUACUUCACAGAAAACAUGUCAAACUGAAAAUGAAGAAAGCAAGCUGUGUCAAUGUAGUUUUCUUAAAAACAUAUCAAAAUCAGUUCUCUAUUAGAACGUAAAGUAGCACAAAAGUUUGGAAUUACAUUAACUGUGUAUCCUUUUACAAAGUACUGAAGAGGGUUUUUUUCUGCCAUUAAUAGCUUGGUUUUUUUUACUUGGCCAUUAGUAUUAGUAUUUUAUUACCUAACCAGUAGUAUUACUUUUGGGGGUCCUCCCUGCUUUUCUAUAAUGUCAGUCCUUCAUUUACUGUCGCUGUCCAGUCUUAGCGUGACCAAGCAACAGGUUCUUCAAAGGCUUUGUAAAAAAUGCAUUCUUCAGAUCGCCUGCCUAACUUCACAGAGAUAUUGCUGUUAUUUUGAAACAAAGGAAAAUCUGCACGUUAAUCCCAAUGACAUUGCUAUAGGAACCUUAUUUACAGUACGAUAAAAAAAAAUGUGCCUUUCUUACAGCCUCAUUAAAUCUAAGCCUCAUUUAACUAGUAGGACGUUUUUACAAUGGGUUUACUGACAUACUAUGAUAAACGUCUGUGUAACAUCCUUCAACAAUAGCCACGACUAUAGCCAUAACCACAAUGUGUAUAAACACUGCAUCGGUUUUAACAAUGUGCUGUCCUGAAUAGUAGGAAGUGAAGUAACACUGAACACAUUUUUACUACCCCCACAUCUCCAAACCUGCUUUUUGCAUUAGGGUUUUUUUUGUUGGUUUCUGUUUUAUUUUGGGGGGUUGUCUUGUUUUGUCUUCUCAGUGGGAAAAGAAACAUUCCCCUUAAAACUGUAAGAAUUAAAAAGUUAAAGUCUGUAAAUGUUACAGGAUCCCUUUGAAAUUCUGACCUAGGCGGAAAGGUUUCCUGAAAUUUGAUUCUUUAAAGAUAAAAGGGUUGGCAGCAGGAUGAAAGCAGCCCUACCCUUUUUUCCAUGUCAGAGAAAUGAAUGGAAUGGCUUAUGAAUACAUGUAACUCACCCAUUCAGAAGCCACACUGGUGCCUAUUUGUCCUGAAAUAUCAGUGUUAGGUUACUGUUCAAAUCAAAAUAACCGUUAGCUAGCAUGAACUUGAUCCUCAAGAACAACGAGGGCCAGAACACAGUUUUUAGAGAGUCUUAAUGAACUUCUCAAACUUUAAGGUAAUGCGAGGAAUUAAAAGACAUUUCUAUGGGGAGGGUGCUUUCAAAACACCAGGCACCUUUACAAACUGUUACCCGUUACAACCUACUUUAGCAAGAGAUCAGGAAUACCAAAAUUACACCGCAAACUAAAGUUUAGCAGGCUCAACUGCUUUCUUGUUCAUGGCUGGCCUCCGAUUUAAUUUCCCAUAAAAUGAUAUCGCAAAGCUGGACAUGGUAAAGCUACAGUAUUUACACUGGAGACCAGGGUCUGACAUUCUGUCUAAAUGAAAUUUCCCAGUUGUCCCAAACACUUUUUAUCUUGUUUCCAUGCUAGCAGUUUGAAAUGUCACUACAUAUUGCCACAAUGACAGAUGAGCAAAAGCACAAGAGAGCAACAUAGCUGGCUUGUCCAUUGAACUAUGCCUGGCAAAUACGAAAAUUUGCUUUUGCCUCUGGCUUCUGCUCCACACCCAGAUAAUGUUAAUGGUAACAGAGAUAAGGUCUAAAACGUGACUUCAUACAGACUGAAUUAUAGAUCAGUGGUUAAGAAAACUGUAUGUGUGCGUGCAUGUGCGUGUUCAUGUGCAUGUGUACACACACACACAUAUACACGUAAUUUUAAAAAGCAUCACUAAGAGCCACAAGCUGCAAGUACUUUUGACCUUACUACCAAGGCUUAUCUCACUAAGGUUAAUGUGAGACUUACUGCAAUAAAAUCCUGUACUACAGAGGAUUGAGACAUGUGGCUAGAAUACAUAUUUUAUGUGGAUUAAUAGACUGAGGCUUGGACGGUAUUGAUGAGAAAGUAAAGAAAACUUCCUUCAGGAACCUUCUGCUUAAGGAAUGAAUGCAUCCCACUCGCUGGGAUCACAGACCCUACAGACUUCCUCUUCAGUGACGGCGGGGUAAGACCCAUGGUGACAUUAUCAUGACAGCCUCAUGGGAAUCAAUGAGUUCUUCUAAGGAGGACUUCAAGAUCAAUUUUUGAACUUGGAUUUCGCAUUUCCAAACCUCUUUUCCAUGUCAUAGGGAAAGAAUCCUCUGUUGCCUUUGAAAAAAGCAAUCUGUCUGUAUAGGUUUGUACAUAUCAUAGAGCUAGUAACUGCUAGAAGAAAAAUAGAUGUGUUAAUUUUACCAAUGAAUACCUAAAUACUGCUUAAUCUCUCCCUCCCAUUUGAGGAGCUGCUCUCACUCUGAAUAACACUCCGGUUUACUACAAUGACAUACGGAGACUUGCUAUUUACAGCAAUGACUUUUUUUGAGCGAUGCUAAAAAACAAACAAACAAAAAAAGGAGCAGCAAACAUUCAUAUGCAGCAGCCUCCGUCUAGAAACAUCCAGCACUUGUAUCAGUACAUGUGAAAUGCUGGUCUCCUUGAAGUCAAGUUCGGGAUUUCACCCAUGAUCUAUCUUUCAAUAAGUCAUCUCUCACUGUUCCCCUCUUUUAUAUUGCUUUCCUUUUGAGAGCACAGAAGAUAUGAAAAGCUGCAUUUCUAUUAGCAACAUUCACUUUAAAACUUCACAUUUCACCCUCUUUAUAAGGCUCUGCUGCCAUCCAUUCUCUGAUACAAGCUGUUACUUGGCCUUCAUCUGCCUGUAUCUUCCCAAUAAAUCAUUCUGACUAUCACAAUGCCUCCUUCGCAAAAAAACAACCGACCAACUAAAAGCAACCACAGGUCGUCAUGGUCUCUCUUAUAAGCAUUAGGAAAUUAACUUUUGAGUGGCAUAGGUAUGGUAGAAUAUAGUUCUGCACCACAUCCUGGACAAACAUUCCUGAAGAUGUAAAUCUGUACAACUAUUUACUUUACCAACGCACAACAGAAACCUCAAAUGAGUGGAGGCUUCCAUGAAUGAGAUAUGACAUGACUGAGACAUACCAUAUUUUAAGGAUAUAUUUCAAGAGCUUAAUAUUGGGAUGCAUCUGAAAGUCUAUCCUUCCUGCCAUGCAGGAGUCUACCCACCCCCAUGAGAUCUACAGUCUGAAAUAAUUCCCUUAACUUAGUGAAUGAGCCAUUCCUCUGCUACAGCUGGGAGGAGGAGAGGAAGGAGAGGAGAAGACUAGUCAUGAUGCUGUCAGUUUAUGCAAUACUCUUAAAAGACAGAGAGCCCCAAACCCCUACAGUAUGAACAGCCUCACACACAGACACACACACACACGAAUUAAGCUAUGCUAUGCUACAUACAUGCUAGGCAUGUAUAAUCAAGCAGAAACAAAAUAUAUGGAAAAUGAAUAGGAUUUUGUAUGUUAAAGCAGUUUUACAUAUUGCUAUUAAAAGAAAGACACCUUUAUAAUAUUUGGUUCAUAAAAUGUUAGAGCAGUACAACUUCAGCCUGUAAAUACUGUGCUCAAAAUUCAUACUUCCUAUUUAAAGGCAUAAUUUCCUUUGCUGCAGCUUGUAUUCAGAUAGAUGAAUUUGCAAAGCGAUUAAAAUACAAGCUACUGUUGGCUGUCAUCAGGAAUGAGUUUUCUACGAUUCUUAAUGCUCUUCACUUCCUAAAUCACUGACAUGAUAUACUUAGUAAGUUUAUCCCUGUUGUACCUUACAACUGCUUACAACGUAGCAGGAACAAGUAUGACCUGUUGUUACUAUGUAAAGUGAAUGCAAUCUUACCAACUCCUCCAAGUGUAGCUCCUCAGCUACAUUUAGCCAUGUAAAAGUCCAAUGUUUGGGCCAGGCUAGUUUCCUGCGGUCCUUUACAGGCAAUGGAGACAGACAAACCCAAGGUAAGGGCAUUUCAACCUGUCCACAGGCUGAUAUUUAAAGCAGUUGGGAUGGAUCGCAGGUGCCACUUUCUCUCUCCGUUAACUACAAAAGGAGCUGAACACUGGUUUAGCAUAACUUGCAGCUUUAAAAUACCAAAAAACCCCUCAUCUACUAGACUUUAAGGAACAUCAUGCAUAUAUAAAGUGAAACUUCGGAGAAAAAAGUGAUGAGAAAAGGUGUUUGUUUGCAUGAGAGUGCACGUAUAUACACAGUAUCUAAAAUCUGACACCAAAAAAAAAAAUUAUAUACCAACUUCUGGCAAUUCUGCAAACCCUUCAGCAUGUUUCUUCUUUGAAAGUGUGCAAUGCUUGUAAGAAGACAACCACGAUACUGCUUUUAAGCUAUUUUAGUAAGGGCCCUUGACAAGCUUCACAUAAAAUAUUCAGCACUGAUGCUUUCAAGGCUACACAAUUUAACUUAAAAAGCUGUCUUCAGUCCACAUUAUAGAAAGGAUAAGUACAAAGGUGGUGUGUGGAUAAGAUGUUUUCCCUAGCCCUUCCCCAUCUGCCUUUCUAAAGCAUGAUAGUAUCGGACUGCAUCACAAACACAAGCUAAAAACUGAAUACAAUUUCUGUUUAUAAUUACAAUAAUUUACUAAAAAUUGUAGUAGUAUUAAAGAAAAUUCAGAAGAGUUUCACAUAUUGUUUCAAAUAUGUUAUGUUUACAUCUCUAACACGGUUAGGGUACAGCUGAAAAAGAGAAGAGGGGGUUGUAUAAUGGAUUCAUUUCGUCCUCCAGUAUUCAGACCGUAUUGGCCGUGCCUUUCCUUGCGAAAGCUUUCGUCGUUCAGAAUGAAUUUUGAAAUGAAAUCCUGGCUUUAUAAGACUGAGAAGCCAAUGCUGCUUAUUUCAGAGGGAGUAGGGUUUCAUCUCUAAUUUUGUGUUGUUAUCUGUAUAAUGAACUGAUAUUCACUCUAUGUAAAGAAGCUGGCAGUUCUUAAAAUAAAACACUGAAAUAUUAGGAAAUACCCUA